GACGAACCGUACGAACGUUAUUCGGAAUCACUGGGCUUAAAGGGUGCGUAGGCGGCGCGGAAAGUUGGGUGUGAAAUCCCUCGGCUCAACCGAGGAACUGCGUCCAAAACUGCCGUGCUCGAGGGAGACAGAGGUGAGCGGAGCUUAGGGUGGAGCGGUGAAAUGCGUUGAUAUUCUAAGGAACACCGGUGGCGAAAGCGGCUCACUGGGUCUCUUCUGACGCUGAGGCACGAAAGCUAGGGUAGCGAACGGG
rnacentral:rRNA from 1 species